CCUGAGAACCACCAUCCCUUUGGCUUGAGAAUCUGUCCCCACUGUGGUUCUUUUCACUUCCCCAUGACCCCACAUUCCCUGGAGAUGCUACCCAACUGGGAUUUGCAUUUCCAGGAGGUUGCCCUUGGCCAAGGGGUACCCAAGCUAAAUUGGCAUUUAUAGGUGUUUGCCCUUGGCCAGGUGGCACCCAACCUGGAAAUGCAUUUCCUGGUGCUUGACCCUGAACUGCAGCAGCCAAACCCAGAUUUGCAUUUCCAGGUGCUUGUGCUUGCCCAUGUGCAACCCAACCUGCGUUUGUGUUUGCAGGUGCUGGCAUCUGACCAGAUACAACCCACCCCUGAUUUGAAUUUGCAGAUACGGGUCCUCCCCAGCCCAUGUUCAGAUUUCCUGGAACCGACCCCCAACCAAUAUUUUGAUUUUCUAGCCCUUGUCUAGACGUAACACUUUGGUUAUCAGUAAUACUCACACCCCAUGGCACAUUAGAUGGAGCAGCAGAAGGUUGAAUGUUUGGUUGCCCAGGCAUAGGACCUCCCCACCGGUCAGAUGGUGCCAAACCUGAAGCUCCUGGGGCGGUAGAAAUACCGCUCAGGUUGCCUGCAAUAAAGGAUGAAGCAGAAUUAUGGGCAGCAGCAGUUGAUGCAUCACCCCAGUUACCAUAAGCACUAGGUUGAGUAGACAUUGAAAUUGAAUUGUUCUGCUCUGGCUUCUG
rnacentral:misc_RNA from 1 species